rnacentral:lncRNA from 1 species
UAACCACUUGGUUAGUGUAAAGCAGAGAGGAGAAUUAGGAGAGGCGGAUGGCAGAGAGGCUUGCCAUGGAAGAUUCGUGGAUGACAGGAGAGGCCGUGUUCCAGAAUGCAAGGAAGAGGAGCCCAAGGACCAUAGCAAGGCCCUGAUUCUGGGAGACGAGAGAACACGCUGACUUAGAAUUCCUGCCUCUACGUCCUGGUCAGAAAGUAGAUGGACAGCCCUUUCAUCUCAGACUGGAUUUUGGUGAGAGAUGGGCAAACCCCAGGCUCUAGGCUGGAGCAGCGGCUCUUGUAUCCACACAAGAUCAGGACUGGUGGAGGGAACCAUCUUCAAACAUAAAUUUGCGUCUUUUGGCAAUGCACUCCUUGGGUUUGGAAGCUUCCCUCCGAGAUGCUGAGCCUGACAUUUGGGGAAAGCCAGGGAAACAGAUGCUGGGUCAGUGCUCCUCCCACUUCCUCUACUCCCCUCCUAAGAGCUCCACUGAGUCACCAGCCAGCAAACACCCCAUGCCCGCUGAAAGAGAUGGACUGUGGGCACACGAGCCUCUGCAUGGGCACCGUACCCUUUUGGCCUCACCCAAUCACCUGGCUUUAAAAAAGCACAAGUAAACUGAUGAGCUGUUGGGUGGCAUCUGCUGUUCCCAGCCGUGGGAAGUGGUGGUAAACUGGGGCCAUGCGGCAUGCUGGGUGCUGCUGAAUUCAGCCAAUGCCAUGCUGAGUAGGAGUGGGCAUGGCGGAGUCACAUGUGUAGAAGGUACCCACCUGAGAAGGUGAGAAUGGAAAUGUUUCCUUGAUGGGUUUGCACUGCUCCCUGGAAAGAGGAGACUUGCUGAGAGCAGCAAGGUGAUAGCAAGUCUUCACAGCCACAGCACACUGUCUGAA